GUAGGUGGCAAGCGUUGUCCGGAAUUAUUGGGCGUAAAGCGCGCGCAGGCGGUCCUUUAAGUCUGAUGCGAAAGCCCACGGCUCAACCGUGGAGGGUCAUUGGAAACUGGGGGACUUGAGUACAGAAGAGGAAAGCGGAAUUCCAAGUGUAGCGGUGAAAUGCGUAGAGAUUUGGAGGAACACCAGUGGCGAAGGCGGCUUUCUGGUCUGUAACUGACGCUGGGGCGCGAAAGCGUGGGGAGCAAACAGGAUUAGAUACCCUGGUAGUCCACGCCGUAAACGAUGAGUGCUAAGUGUUAGGGGGUUUCCCGCCCCCCUUAGUGCUGCAGCUAACGCAUUAAGCACUCCGCCUGGGGAGUACGGCCGCAAGGCUG
rnacentral:rRNA from 1 species